rnacentral:rRNA from 1 species
AGCGAACGCUGGCGGCAGGCCUAACACAUGCAAGUCGAACGGACCCUUCGGGGUUAGUGGCGGACGGGUGAGUAACACGUGGGAACGUGCCUUUAGGUUCGGAAUAGCUCCUGGAAACGGGUGGUAAUGCCGAAUGUGCCCUUCGGGGGAAAGAUUUAUCGCCUUUAGAGCGGCCCGCGUCUGAUUAGCUAGUUGGUGAGGUAAUGGCUCACCAAGGCGACGAUCAGUAGCUGGUCUGAGAGGAUGACCAGCCACAUUGGGACUGAGACACGGCCACACCCCCUGCGGGAGGCAGCGGUGGGGAUGUUGGGGCAGGGGGAGAAAGCCUGACGCAGCCAUGCGGCGUGGAUAAUGAAGUUCUUAGUAUUGUAAAACCCUUUCCCCGGUGAAGAUAAGACCGGUAGCCGAAGAAGAAGCCCCGGCUAACUUCGUGCCAGCGGCCGCCGUAA